UGUGGUGGGUCGUGGAUGCUCAGUGAAGACUUUUGGGUUGAAGUAUCAUAACCAUUGUCAGAAGACACAGUCAGUGAUUUUUGCAUUCUGAUUGAGGGUGUAGCAGCUGAGGCUAUAGCUGCAGGUGUAGCAGCUGAGGUCACUUCUGAGGUCGUAGCUCCAUCUUCAGCUACAGCCUCACCAGAGAUUGACUGUUGACACUCUGAA